rnacentral:rRNA from 1 species
AUUGAACGCUGGCGGCAUGCUUUACACAUGCAAGUCGAGCGAGCGGCGGACGGGUGAGUAAUGUCCGGGAAACUGCCUGAUGGAGUGGGCUAAGUACUGGAAACGGUAGCUAAUACCGUAUACCAUCAGAUGUGCCCAGAUGGGCUUAGCUAGUAGGUGGGGUAACGGCUCACCUAGGCGACGAUCCCUAGCUGGUCUGAGAGGAUGACCAGCCACACGGAAACUGAGACACGGUCCAGACUCCUACGGGAGGCAGCAGUGGGGAAUAUUGCACAAUGGGCGCAAGCCUGAUGCAGCCAUGCCGCGUGUGUGAAGAAGGCCUUCGGGUUGUAAAGCACUUUCAGCGGGGAGGCGUUACCCGCAGAAGAAGCACCGGCUAACUCCGUGCCAGCAGCCGCGGUAAUAC